rnacentral:rRNA from 1 species
GACGAACGCUGGCGGCGUGCCUAAUACAUGCAAGUCGAGCGAACCCGGGGUGCUUGCACCCUGAGGGUUAGCGGCGGACGGGUGAGUAACACGUGGGGAACCUGCCUUGCUGUCUGGGAUAACACCGGGAAACCGGUGCUAAUACCGGAUGUCCCCUUUCCGGCACCUGCCGGAGAGGGAAAAGGCGGCUUUGAGCCGCCGCAGCCAGCGGGGCCCGCGGCGCAUUAGUUAGUUGGCAGGGUAACGGCCUCCCAAGGCGACGAUGCGUAGCCGACCUGAGAGGGUGAUCGGCCACACUGGGACUGAGACACGGCCCAGACUCCUACGGGAGGCAGCAGUAGGGAAUCAUCCGCAAUGGACGAAAGUCUGACGGUGCAACGCCGCGUGAGUGAUGAAGGUUUUCGGAUCGUAAAGCUCUGUUGUGAGGGAAGAAUAGGAUGGGGAGGAAGUGCCCGAUCUGUGACGGUACCUCACCAGAAAGCCCCGGCUAACUACGUGCCAGCCGCCGCCGUAA